UACGGAGGGUGCGAGCGUUGUGCGGAAUCAUUGGGCGUAAAGGGCGCGUAGGUGGCCCGGUCAGUUCGUGGUGAAAGCGCGGGGCUCAACCCUGCGUCGGCCAUGAAUACUGCCGCGGCUGGAGCACUGUAGAGGCAGGCGGAAUUCCGGGUGUAGCGGUGGAAUGCGUAGAGAUCCGGAAGAACACCGGUGGCGAAGGCGGCCUGCUGGGCAGUUGCUGACACUGAGGAGCGAAAGUGUGGGGAGCGAACAGG
rnacentral:rRNA from 1 species